rnacentral:rRNA from 1 species
UGAACGCUAGCUACAGGCUUAACACAUGCAAGUCGAGGGGCAGCAGAUCGAUAGCUGCUAUUGAUGCUGGCGACCGGCGCACGGGUGAGUAACGCGUAUCCAACCUUCCCUAUAGUAGAGGAUAGCCCGGCGAAAGUCGGAUUAAUACUCUAUGUUGUAUUUAGAGGACAUCUGAAGAAUACCAAAGGUUUACCGCUAUAGGAUGGGGAUGCGUCUGAUUAGGUUGUUGGCGGGGUAACGGCCCACCAAGCCUACGAUCAGUAGGGGUUCUGAGAGGAAGGUCCCCCACAUUGGAACUGAGACACGGUCCAAACUCCUACGGGAGGCAGCAGUGAGGAAUAUUGGUCAAUGGGCGAGAGCCUGAACCAGCCAAAGUAGCGUGCAGGAAGACGGCCCUAUGGGUUGUAAACUGCUUUUAUACGGGGAUAAAGUGAGGGACGUGUCCCUUUUUGUAGGUACCGUAUGAAUAAGGACCGGCUAAUUCCGUGCCAGCAGCGGC